rnacentral:tRNA from 1 species
AAAGAUUUAGUUUAAAUUUAAAACAUUAGUUUGUCAAACUAUAAAUAUUAUUAUUAAUAAUUUUUU